rnacentral:rRNA from 1 species
UAGGGAAUCUUCGGCAAUGGACGGAAGUCUGACCGAGCAACGCCGCGUGCGUGAAGUAGGUUCUCGGAUCGUAAAGCUCUGUUGUUAGCGAAGAACGAUGGUAGGAGUGGAAAAUCUACCAAGCGACUGUAAUUAACCAGAAAGGCACGGCCAACUACGUGCCAGCAGCCGCGGUAAUACGUAGGUCCCGAGCGUUGUCCGUAUUUAUUGGGCGUAAAGCGAGCGCAGGCGGUUCUUUAAGUCUGAAGUUAAAGGCAGUGGCUGAACCAUUGUACGCUUUGGAAACUGGAGGACUUGAGUGCAGAAGGGGAGAGUGGAAUUCCAUGUGUAGGGGUGAAAUGCGUAGAUAUAUGGGGGAACACGGGUGGCGAAAGCGGCUCUCUGGUAUGUAACUGACGCUGAGGCUCGAAAGCGUGGGGAGCAAACAGG